GAGCAGCUUUAUUUAACAAGCCCACAUCCUCUUCAAACUCUGUGGCAAAUACUGAGGAAGGUAACUUAAUAGAUGGAGCCUUAGAAAAGGAAACAAAAUAACAUCAUCACAAUAUAUUUGUUCGCAGCUUCUCCUUUGAGCUCAUGUUAAAAAAAAGGUGCAGAUGCUCAUGUGACACAAAGAAAGUCUGCAGCAGAACUCUCUGGGGAGCAGUAUCAUCAGCAGCAAGUGGAUCCCGCUGACUUCUGUGCACUAAGUGAAACGUUACUGCCCUCUUCUUCUCUAUGAAGGGUUUCUUCUUCUUGUGAGGCUGCAAAAGGGCAUUUGGUUAACCAUUAAUACAAAAUGAAAAAUUAAAUGCACCUACAAAGAA